CCUUGCUUUGCUUUAUCUAUCCAUCUAAAUACAAUACACACACCAAAUAUAAGCGAGGCCUGAGCCUGAGGGAUCGUGAGCUCCGUCCAGUUGGUCCUGAUCUGGCGGGUGACAUUGUUCGACGGAAUCUGCCGGAACUUGAGCUUGAACUCCAUGAUGGGCAGCAGGCUCUCCGUCUGCCAAACGAGAACGUGCGACGUGGAGCUCUGGGUCCCCGGGUUGAUCUUGAAGAGGCAGGGCAUCGGGCGGCCAGUCAGCUCGAUGCUUCCGGUCUUUAGGGAUAUCGCGUUGCUGGCCCGACACUCGUACUGCCCCAUAUCCGCAUUCCGGACGGUCUUCACCACCAGCGUGUGGCGCACGGCGUUUACGUAAUGGUCCACCGAGCGGUUCAUCUGCAGCUCCGAUUCGUGACUGGUGGAGUGGGCUCCCAGGGCCACCGGCAGUCCGUGGUGGAACCACUUGACCGCUGCCGCUGGUGCCGCCUCCACAAUGCACUCCAGAUGAGCACGGGAGCCCAGCUUGGUGUACACCACCGGCUGGGGAAUGACCACCUCGGGGGAAACUGUGGAGUGCGAGGAGGGUUUGUUAUUGCUUUUGAUUUUAUAAGUAUUUUACAGGAACCGUAAUAUAUUAUAAGCAAAUUAAGGAAA